GUGUUUUAGAAUAUUGAAAUAAUUAUUAAUUAUUCGAAGUAAAUGUGCAUUGUUGUUUAAAAGCAUCGUAGAUACACCGUCUCCCUCGAAAUUUACCUUCAGACUGACACGUUGUUGUCUUCUAUGAAAAUUUUUUUUAUUAAACAUUGUUUAUAUGACUUUCCAAACGUUGCGCAUGAGCAUAACACAUUUAUUACAAUAUAACUUGAUUAUAUUAUAUACUGUAUUCGCUUGAAGUUGCAACUAUCGCCUGCUGGUGAUCCCGGUGAUAACUAAGAAGAUGUUGGUUACACGAAAAGUAGACUUGUGAGCUUCUAUGUACUACAGCUGUAUUCUUUAAACAUAUCCAUGUGGUAUAUCUAAAGGUAACCGAGUUGGGGUUGUUCGCCGCGUCAAUAAUGGCGGUUUCCGGCGGCACGGCUAUCAAAGGAUAUAGAUAUGGAUAUAGACAUAGAGUCGACCGACUGCUAAACUGUGAUACAAGUCUGUGAACGCAACACGGAUAUAUCUUGAAAUAUUCGUCAAGGCAAUCGUUAUAUAUCACGUUUUUGCGAAGAGAAACGUGUUAGACAGACCUAAAGUUAGACAAUCAAAAACGUUUCUACGUUUCGUGGGAUGUGGUUCUUCCGCAUUUGUGAAUAGUCAAACAAUUUUCGAUGCGAGACGUAUGUAGUGUUUCUCAAAUGGAGUUGACUGUACAAUCGUGACUUUCGGCUUCGAACAGACUGACUGCAGUUUACACAACAUCUCAGAUUAAGUUUUUAACUGUUCCAUUUAAACGUGCGAUCCUUCCAUCAAAAUUACCAUAUCAUGGCCUCAUCAAAUAGAGGUAUUCAAAUUGGUUCGGCCUGGUAUCAAACUAAUAUUAAGCUAAGACCACAACAUCGUGGCAUACAUCUUGUUACCGAAGAAAUUUUAAAACAAAUUCCAGAACUAUAUCAGUUCUCUGUUGGUCUUUGCCAUAUACAGAUUCUUCAUACAUCAGCUAGUUUAGCAUUAAAUGAAAGCUGGGAUCCUGAUGUAAGAGAUGAUAUAGAAAUGAUGCUUAACAAAAUAAUUCCUGAAGGAUUAGACUAUAGACAUGAUUGCGAAGGUCCAGACGACAUGCCGGCUCAUGUAAAAGCAUGCUUUUUGGGAUCUUCAUUAAGCAUUGCAAUUACGAAUGGAAAGUUAGCUCUUGGUACAUGGCAAGGUAUUUGGUUUUGCGAACAUCGUGAUAAUGCAGGAAGUCGCAAAUUAAUCAUAACGUUGACCGGUUGUCUCAGGGAUUCAGCACGUACCCCUUUAAGUCCCGUCAGCCCUAUUGCUUCUACCAGCAGCUAGGACCAAUCACACCCCCAAAGGUGUGGCAAACGUCAGCUGCACAUAUCUACUUCUAGUAAUUUAAGCUAGCAGCUGCUUAAUUAAGAGUAGAAUCGAAGGAAGAAAUAAGGUACAAUCGAAAUGAAAUAUUGGGAUUUAUUAGCAACAAUAUCCCUUUGAGGAAGAUGUCUGGAUACACUACUUGGAACCUUAGUUCUUCCUCGCUUGUAUCAAACCCACCGAAUACUGUCGCAAAUAACGUUUGUCCCGAUAUCCAGUCAAGUCGAGUUGGCGAGUUUUCUGCAUUCGAGUCCGCAUUCGAGUCCGCAUUCGAGUCCGCAUUCGAGUCCGCAUAGAGAGGCACGCACAUAUUUCAAUGAUCAUACGUACAUGUAAUUAUUUGUGUUUAAUGUGAAAGUAAGAGUCGGUGCAUCAAAAGAGUAUCAUUGAAUUCAUUUAAUAAAAUUAAACAAGGUACAAAAGACAAAGUUGAAUGUUUAAUCUAGUAAUGAUAAAUUUGUGCAAUUGAUUGUGCAAUAGAUUGUGCAAUAAAGUGUUCCAUAAGAAAAGAAUCAUGAGAAAUAUAAGUUAUAUAUACUUUAGAGACAUGCAACGUAAUUACACUAGUAUCCUAUACUCUUUCUCGUUACUCUUAGAUAUUAUAAAUAAUCGAAUGCAUUUUAAUGCGUCCAGUACUCCGAAUUUAAAUAUAUAUAUAUAUAUAUAUAUAUUUCUAUAUAUAUAUAUAUAUAGCUUUAUUUAAGAGACCCUUUUACAAAAAUAGUCAAAUUUGCCAAGAAAAUUAUACAGACAAAUGCUGGUCUGAAAACUUGCAUUCUUUUUUAUAUUGUGCAAGAGAUAACCAGCUUUAAUACAUUCUUUGUUAUAACUUUCUAAUUCGCUGCUUUUCAUAGUGCUGCUAUUUCUAAUGACGUUUCCAUUACAUUGGGGGUGUAAGUAGAAAGGUAUUUCUCAAACAAAUUCAAUAUCAAAAUUCUUUGCUGUGCUAAGGCAUUUCUGCUAGAAGUCAUUACAAAAUCUUACAAAUAAGAUGUGCAUUUACUAAUGUGUGGUGUGUGUGUGCAAACAAAGAACCAUUCCAAAUUCAAAGAUUUGACAGCAAUGUGAUCUAUAUUUUACAUUUGUCAGCAAAACUUGGCAUUUUCAAAUCUAAUUCAUCCUAGUGUAAUAUAAAAUGAUGCAUACAUUCCUGCAGAGAUUUAGCACUGCAAAGAGCUAUAAUAAAAAUAGCAUUCUCUCUCUCUCUCUCUCUCUCUCUCUCUCUCUCAUUACGUUUCUUAUUAACCACAGGUUAUUGUGAACUUGUAAAUGUAUAUCUAAUAUAAAAUUAAGCAAGUUGAUGUUAGUCAGUAAUAUUAUUCAUUUAUAGCGUAAACGAUCGUCCAUUCAUCGAUUAGUGGAUACGCUUUGUAAAAUAUCUAAUCCAAUAAUCCAUAGCUUAAAUAUCAACGAGUUAUAACAUUUCGUCUAUAACAAAAUUAUACACCAGAUUGGUGCACUUCGUGAUACAAUCUCAAAUACUGGAGAUUACGAAAUUCAUGCGCGCGAAUGUGAUUUUGAUCUUCUAAAUAUAUAUCCAAAGGAACAAAAAAAAAAAAAAAACAGCAAAAAAAAAGAAAAAAACAAAUUUUUAUGCCUAUAUGCCGAAUAACAAUUGAGCUGUCUAACUGAAGAUAAGUGAUAAGCAAAUAUAUGUCUGUCAAGCUGCCAAUACUGACAUACAUCAUCGGAGUAACAUGAGCUACUGUACUACAUGUUUACUACAUUUGAUGGUGGUAUAUAAAUUACAGACUUUGCUUCUAAUAAAUAUAAUAAGUGAAUUUUACUGCUCACAGAUUUCUUUUAUAAUUUAAUUUGUAAGCGGAAAUUAUUAGAAAGAAAUAUAACCCUUUGCACUCAUAUUGCUGGCGUGUGACAAUACUAAUUUUCCCUAAAACUCUUGAAUCACUUCUGACGUGACACUGAAGAAACAAACAAGAAUAAUUCUUUGAUUUGUUCGAUUAUUUGAUAGAUCAAAAUGCGUGUGUUGUUAUUUCUUUUGUUAUAUACUCUUCAUACGUUAUAUUUUUUUAUAUUAAAUAAGGGAUUUGUGCAAUAUUGCAUUUUGUUCAUUAAAUAUUGUUAUGUCGAAGGUGAUUGAGGAGUGCAAAGGAUUAAAUAACUGUAGCAAUUGUUUCUGCCUAAGAUACUGAAAUAGGAGAAAAUAAAGUCAGAAUUGCUGACUUGAAGAGAAAUUACAAAAAUGAUUAUAGUGCAAAGAGAUGAAAAAGAAAAAAAAAUCAAAAAAUAAGAAAAACUGAAAUUUUAACAUUUAUAAACAUUUAUAAAGUAUGUUUUUUUUUUUUUAAAGCAAAAUUCUCUUAUCUCUGUGUAAUCCUGCCAGUUGGACAGUUUUAAUAUAAGAUAUGGUAAAGACACAGUUAAAGAAGACAAAUUAAUCUUUUGUUAUUAUGAGCAUAUGGAUGUACAUAAUAUUGAUUCAUCGAAAAAAAAAAAAAAUGCUCUGUGCCAAACAUUCGUUUGGUCCUUUGAAUUGUACAGUUUCUAUCUUCGUCUGAAUGGGAAUUCUGUACAAAAUGAAAAAGUGAAGAAUCUUUUUGAUGAAAAUAGAUACCCAUUAAAAAUCAAUCUACACAAUGUACAUGCAAAAUGCUAAAUUCUACCUAUAUUAUUAUACUUAUAUAUUAUUUUAUUUACGUAGAAGUAAAUGUGCAAGAAAGAUAAAUCCAUUUUGUAAAAGCAUGAAUAUUAAUUGCAACUAAUUCACUAAAUGUAUUAAAUGAAAAAAAAAAAAAAA
rnacentral:misc_RNA from 1 species